UUUUAAACUCUCUUGAUGUUU
ensembl:piRNA 21ur-13906 ncRNA